UCUGCGGUUGUACCAGCGCGGGGCUUCGAAACGUAACUCGGCCCUCGCCCUCCCAAACGGCUUUCCAGACGGUGCACCCCCUUUUGUUAGCAUCACCACUGGAUUCCACUUAGAAACUUAGAUGUCCCCAAUUGAUGCCAUUUUUUUCCCCUUUACUGACUUCCGUCAAUUGACAAGUUCUGUCGAUUCUACCUCUGCAGAAAUUCCGGCAUCCAUCCACCCUCCUUACCUACCAGGUCCACUCGAAUUUCUCAUUACUGUCCCCUGAACAGGGUAAAUGCACUGCUUUUCUCUUAGAUACCCUUCCUUUAGCAUCACUCGCCUGCCAGCCCAGCUGACAGAGCUGCUACAGUCAUCUUUAAAACGCAGCUGUGAUCAAAAACCUUCACUGGCUCCCUGUUGCCUGUAGGUUAAAGGCCAAAUUUAUUAACUUGAAUUCAAAACUCUUAACUUUGUUUCCUGCUGUUCCCCCUUUCGUUCUCCCUUUCCCGUGGCAAAUCAGACCACCUCCUGCACGAAUAACCCAUUGCCUUUCUAAGGACUGCUCCUGUCUCUUUCUCUUUGGAAUACCCUUCCCUCCCCAUCUUCUUGGGAUGUCUAGAUUCUGUCCAUUCUUUAAAGCCAGGUGAAGUGACUUCUCCAUCUAGAAAUAAAUUUUCUUUGCUACUGAAUGUCCAUCCUACUUUCUGAACCAUUCUUCAUGCAUUCAUUCAGGUAGUACCACUUUCUAAUUCUGAACUAAAAUUGUGUACAACUCUUCCCCUUACUAGACUGUAAAUAGACCUUUAUCAUUUCUGCAUCCUGGGAUGUGUAAUGUUGGGCUCUGCACUCAAUAAAUGUGGAACUGUGAACAUUCCAAGCCAUGUUUAGAAACACCAAGCCAGCAAAAGUGAAUAGGACAGUAUGAAUGAGGAGCCCCAGUCCUAUCGGGGUUGGACAGUAGAGCCUCACGUCAACCCAGUGAUCUAGAGGCAAAACAUACCAGCAGACAUCCCUGAGGAAUCCUGGCAGCUAAAGACUCCUACUUUGAGAGGCCGUGAGUGACCUUGGACAAUGACCACUUUACAGAUGGUGAAACUGAGGUUCAAGAGGUUAUGCAGUUGUUUCAAGGGCCCAGCUGCAGAUGGUCAAAACAGUUGAAACACCGAUUCAAACAGUUGGCAGCUACAACGGUAAACAGUGAAGACAGUGAGUCAGAAUGAAGACACCGCCCCCCCCCCCCCGACCUGCUGCGUAACAUCCCCCCUGUCCUCUUUGGAAUGUGAGCCGUGACCUCUACUGAUACGGGGCAAUGCAUGUCUCUCCUUGACUUCGGCAUAUUCCAGUUAGACAUUGUUGAGGGUUGACUCCGGUCUCCCUCCCAGCAGGUGAGAGCCUGCCCCCUCCCACAGGUGGGUGGAGAGCUUUUGCUGCCAAGGGAUCCUUAGCAUUUUUAGGUGGUGCAGGCCAGCCUGUGCAACUUUAGCCAAGAAUGAGGCUCGGUUUCCUUAUUUCUAAGAUGAGAUGAUCAUGAUUACUAUUUUCCACUGCCGAGAUUAGGAUUAUAAGGCUUACGAAAUGUUGGUUGGUCACCCCUGUCUCCUUGCUCACCGUUUUCCAAACCAACACACCACACUCUGACUUGGCUGGUCUGAGCAGGGGGAGGUUCUGAUGCAAACCUUUUGCAGUAGCCCUGUGAAAACAGUCAGGUCCAAACACCACCAGUGUGGUCUGCUGAGCGCUGACUAUAUGCCAGGCGCUGGGCGAUGCUUUACAGCCACAUUCUCUCCUUUGCGCUCGUAACAACCACCUCGGUAGGUGUCUGUCUUGGACAAACAGGGCUUGCAGAUGAGAGGUAACUUGCCCAGGGUUACACAGGCGAGCAGAAGUGAGAUCUGAAUCUACUCUCUUCUCCCCGGAGAAGGGACACCAGAGAACCUAAAGAACAACACAUCCGAGCUGGAGGUUUGAGAACUAGGCUAGUCAGGGUUGCCCUCUGUGGUUGAGAAGUGAGAACCCGGAUGUUCGCGGCGUUGGUGAGGCAGGCGCCAUUGGCUUUCAGGUGAAACACUGCUCAAGCCGGGACAUGGAGUCUGUCAGGUUUCAAGGCAGCUGUGACUCAGUUCGUGGUUACUUUGACUUUGGUUUGUCUUUGAAGCAGGGGAAAAGCGACACCAGGGAUGUGAAUGGGGCAAGGAGUGCGGGGAGCUCUCUGACACCUGCCGCUUCUGGAUCUCAGGGAGGUGUGCACACGCUCUAGUGUGUCUAGCGAGCCCACGCGAAGUGAGAUGCCCGCCAGGUCCGAAGCGUAUGGAACUGUGUGUGCCGCUUAUCACCCGUAACGACGUGGACCUCCAUGGAGAGCCAUCAGUCGGCCGCUCAGAAGGCCACAUCACCUGGGCCUGAGAGCCACAUCCUAGGCCUUGACCUUCCUGUCGUGUGUGCUAGAAGGGGCAGCAACCUCCCUUUCCCUGCACGUACACGGCAAAGCCUAACAGUUUUCCAUUUGUGCCCACUUGUGUCCACCGGGGUGCUGUCUGUGGGCAGGCCUGGCCCGGCCUGCUGCAGACACACAAGCACGGAGUCACGUUCUAGUGUAGAAACUGAAGAAUGCAGUUUGUAUCCUUGCCCAGAGGGCCACCGCAUCCGCAGGCAGAGGUGCAAGAGUUUAUGGAUGGCUGCAGCCAAAAUUGUGUCCAAAAAGAGGCUCUGACAGAGACAGAGAGCUAAUCAGUGAUGGCCCGGGUUUGGGUGGCAGAGAAGGACAGACUACAAAUGGCAGUGCAGGAGCCUGUGGGGGCCGGGGGUCGCGGAGACAUCCUGAAGCCGGAUAGUGGUGGUGGUGGCUGCACAACUCCGUAACUUUACUACAAAUCUCGAACCAUACGUGGACAAUGGUGCAUUUUGUGCUGUGUAAAUUCUACGAGAGGGAGGGAGGGAGGGAGGGAGAGAGGAGCAGCCCUGGAUCUGCUUGAAUAGGUGGAAGCACUUCGGUGAAACCCCAGCGUAACAGACACAGACCAUAGAAGAGAAGAUUCGGGCCUAGAAAGUAUUAAGAGCAGGAGCAAAUCAUUAGAAUCUUAGUGUCCAGCAUCCAACCUUGAGUAGUCUGCCUCCUUGGAAAGAUGACACUUGUAAUAUAUAUUUUUAAAAGAUUUAUUUAUUUUAGGGGGAUGCCUGG